AUACUUACGUGGCAGGGGAGAUACCGUGAUCAAGAAGGCGGUUCACCCAGGGCGAGGCUCGGCCAUUGCACUCUGGCUGUGCUGACCCCUUCGAAUUCCCCAAAUGUGGGAGUCUUGACUGCAUAAUUUCUGGUAGUGGGGGACUGCGUUUGCGCUCUCUCCUG
ensembl:snRNA U1 U1 spliceosomal RNA